UGAGAAAGCCAGGGGAGAACCAACACAACAUGGUUACUGCACACGGAAAGAAAGAAGAAGAAACUAACACAGCCAUUGUGCUUCAAAAUUGUACCAUCUCGGGCGCCCCUGACUACCUUUCGGUGAAGGACAAGAACAAGACGUACCUUGGUCGUCCCUGGAAACAAUUUGCGACAACUGUCAUAAUGCAAUGUCAAAUCGAUGACAUCAUUACACCAGAGGGUUACUCCCCCAUGGAAGGCACCGUAGGACUGGACACUGGUUACUUUGCCGAGUUCCAAAAUAGGGGACCCGGUGCCAACACCGAGGGCAGGGUCACAUGGAAAGCUAUCAAGAAAAUCGAUAUGGAUGAAGCCAUGAAAUGGACUCCUCGCGUAUUUUUGCAAUCUGACGAAUGGCUGGCACAAACUGGCGUUCCUUUUGAUCCCGAUAUGACCCCUGGAGUUUAAACUUCCAAAACCAUCGCCAUUAAUAUUCUUUUAUAUCAUUAUUAUUUGAAAUAAUGUUGUUGAUUAUUGAUUAAUCUGAACAACUUUUUCCUAUUUUUAUAAUAUUAAUAAUAUAUUCAACUCUUAUUGAAGGCAAAAGGGAAGUCAUAAUUAUCAUGGAAGGAAAAAUCUGAAAUUGAUUUAUUAUUCCCCCAAUUAUAAAAAAGAAAAAGAAGAAAUUAUAAGGGAUAGAUAUAAAGUUUAAUAUGCUCUUAAAAAAAUUAAUUUUGCUAUGUAUUUCAUUAAUUAAAACAAUACAUCUUAAUAUAUUUUAUUAAUUAAUAUGAAACAUUUUUUAAAAUAUUUUUAAAUAUAUUUAAUUUUAAUAAUUUUUAAUUAUCAUUUGACAGAAAUAUUAUUUUAAUUUAUUAUAAACUAUUUAAUAUAGAUAUAAUUUCAAUACUUUUAUUAUUUUAAUUCAUAAUAUAGUAUUUAACGUAAUAUUUAAUAUAAAUAUUAUUUUUCAAAAGUAUAUACUUUCUAUAUUGUACACAUAUUUCCAUGUGGUACUUGUACUCUAUAAUUUAUAUAUUUUUUUAAUGUUAUUCUUCAUUUUAGGUUUAAAUGAUGUUUAUUUCUAGCCAAGGUUUCAUGCUACCAUAAUCAAAAUCUAUCCAUAAGAGAUAUCCAUUUGAUUUAUGGGUAAAUUGUAAAAAUAGUUACUUUUGUUUACCACAUAUUACAUUUUAGUCAUUUAUAUUUGAAAUGUCACGUUUUAGUCACUUACGUUAUUAUUUUGUUACGAAUUAGUCACUUUACCAUUAAGCUCUACUAACGACAGUCUUACGUGGCAGUCCAAAUUAAAUUUAUUUAAUUAAAAAAUUAUUUUCAUCCCAACAAUUGGACAUUUAAGUUGGCAUUUAAAACUCAUUUGGACUAUCACGUAGGAUUGUUGUUAGGGAGGUAACGUAGUUUAACGGUAGAGUGACCACUUCGUAACAAAACGAUAACGUAAAUGACUAAAACGUAAUAUUUCAAAUAUAAGUGACUAAAAUGUAAUUUGAGACAAAUAAAAGCGACUAUUUUUAUAAUUUUUCUUUAAUUUUUUAUAAAAUUUCUCAAUUAUAUACUAAAAAGUUAAAUUAAAUUGGAUUGAAUUAGGAUAUCGGUAACACUAUUUCGUUUCUAUGUAAAUUUAAAGUGUUUUAGGCCACAAACAAAUCUCUAUCAUGUCUUAUUAAAAAAAAUCAAUAAAUAUUAGAUGAAAGUAGGUAAUUGGAUUCUUUAUGGUAAUGGCUGAUUGUGUUUUUUAUACUAUAAUUAAUUUAUAUUUCUUCAUUUUUAUAUAUAAAAAGUUUGGGUAAAUUAUAAAGAUAGUCACCAAAUUAUUAAAUUUUUUUAUUUUAGGCAUUUAAAAUAAAAAAUUUGUAAUUUAAGCACUUAAGUUUCAUAGUUCUAUUAUCUUGGUUACUCCUGUUAAAAUCAUAAAUCGUAGUUAAAAAAUUGGUAUAAUAACACAUUUAACCCUCAACUUUUACAUAUUAUAUUGAUUUAGUCAUAAUUUUAAAAAAUCAACUCUCAAAAUUGACAAAUUUCUCAAUUUGAUCCUAAUUCUAAAAAAUUCAAAGAAAUAUAUAAAAAUAAAUAAAUAAUUUUAAAAAUAUAUCUAAAAACAAAAAAAAAUUAUUGUUGACAAAAAUAAUAUAUAAAAAUUUAAAAUAUAAAAAGAUACAUAAAUAAUUUCAAAAAAUAUGGGGUUAAAUUUAAAUUUGAUAAUAAUAUUAAUAUUUUUAAUGUAUUUUUAUUAUGCAAGCAUACAAAUGUUACAAUAAUAUCCAUAAUUUAAGUGAAUUUAUACAAUCAAUUCAAAUAUAUGGGAUUAUAUAUAUAUAUUGGUGAACUAUACUAACCCAACUAGUGUGAUUCGAAUCUAGACUAUAUCUGAAGCAGUGAAUAUCCUUAACUAUCUGGCCAUCACAUGAGUUUAUAUGGGAUUUUAUAUUAUGAACAUAUUUAAAAAAUUAUGACAUUAAAUAAAAUUCACAUAAUUGAAUUUCUACAAACUUAGAAAUCAAUAAAUAAAUAAAUAAAUAAAGGACACACAACUUAACUAUAUUUAAUAAUUAAAUAUAUGAAAUAUAUUUUAUUUUAUUAAAAUUUUAAUAAAUUUACAAAUAAGAUAAAUACUCAUGAAUAAUAAUUAAAAAGUAAUUAAUAUGUAAAGCCCAUUGUAAUUUUUUAGACGCAUGGUGUAUAAAAGAAUUAUCAUUAACAAAAUAUGGAUGGGAUUGCAUAUUCAAAUAAAGUUUAAUGUUUAUUUUAUUUUAUUAUUAAUAAUGGUGUAUAAAUCUUUUUUUAAUUAUUUUUUGGUGAAAUUAUAAGAGGAGGGUAAAAUCUUAACAGUAACGUGACUAGCGCUAAUCGAGACCACACCUAGGAGAAUAAACACCCUAACUAUUAGGCCAAUACAUAAAGUUCAACUCCUUAAUUAUUAAUAUUAGAAGACAAUAUAUUGUUUGGCGCAAAUGAGGAUAGAGAACUGUAAGUAAUGAGAAUUAUUAUGUAAUAAUUAACAUUCAUUACAAAUUUGACAUUUGUGUUAAAUACAUAAAAUUCUAUAUUUCAUAAGUAUUUUAAAUUUCUAUUUUGUUUCCUUAAUUUAAAUAUUCUAUUUUUUUUAUUAACUCUAGUAAAAUCUAUAAACCCUCCACCCCUUGCAAAUAGUUAACUAAAAAUAGUCAUUAAUUUGUUAAGAAGAGGUUACUUUGGUAGUAUAAAUAGGACACUUCAAUGACAUAUUAUUCAAGCUCAAUAUUCAAGCUCAAGAGGAAACUAAUUCAGGAAAAAUCAAUGGAUUCGACACCUAACGUUGUGGUUGCUAAGGAUGGUAGUGGGAAAUAUGAUUGCAUCACAGAGGCCUUAGCUGAAGUCCCGUUGAAUUGUUGCGAUCGAUUUGUUAUUCACAUUAAGGCUGGUACUUAUAAGGAAAAAAUCAUUGUGACCAAGGAGAUGACUAAUGUUAUGUUCCUCGGUGAUGGCCCAACCGAGACCAUCAUCACCAAUGGCGUUAACUGCUUUAAGGAUAAUGUUAAAACAUUCGACACUGCUACUGUUGGUAAGUAGUAUUAUAUACAUAUAAGUUUUGGUGGUGAGAUGAGGUGACUAACUAGUAUGUAUGUUUGUGAAAUAUUGUAGGUGUGGAUGGGGCUGGUUUCAUGGCCAAGGGUGUUGGAUUCGAUAACUCAGCAGGACCUGAUGGUCAUCAAGCAGUGGCUUUUAGGGCAUCCUGUGAUAAGGUUGUCAUGCUCAAUUGUCAUUUUACUGGGUACCAAGACACCCUUUACGCUCAUAGAGACAAACAGUUUUAUAGGGAUUGUCUCAUUAGCGGGACAGUAGACUUCAUCUUCGGGAAUGCGGCGAGUGUUUUCCAAAACUGUCAGAUUGUCGUGAGGAAGCCAGGUGAAAACCAGCACAACAUGAUUACAGCACACGGAAAGAAAGAAGAAGAAACUAACACAGCCAUUGUGCUUCAAAAUUGUACCAUCUCGGGCGCCCCUGACUACCUCCCGGUGAAGGACAAGAAUAAGACGUACCUUGGUCGUCCCUGGAAACAAUUUGCGACAACUGUCAUAAUGCAAUGUCAAAUCGAUGACAUCAUUACACCAGAGGGUUACUCCCCCAUGGAAGGCACUGUAGGACUGGACACUGGUUACUUUGCCGAGUUCCAAAAUAGGGGACCCGG
rnacentral:lncRNA from 1 species